CCUACGGGAGGCUGCAGUGAGGAAUAUUGGUCAAUGGACGAGAGUCUGAACCAGCCAAGUAGCGUGAAGGAUGACUGCCCUAUGGGUUGUAAACUUCUUUUAUAUGGGAAUAAAAUGUUCCACGUGUGGGAUUUUGUAUGUACCAUAUGAAUAAGGAUCGACUAACUCCGUGCCAGCAGCCGCGGUAAUACGGAGGAUCCGAGCGUUAUCCGGAUUUAUUGGGUUUAAAGGGAGCGUAGGUGGAUUGUUAAGUCAGUUGUGAAAGUUUGCGGCUCAACCGUAAAAUUGCAGUUGAAACUGGCAGUCUUGAGGACAGUAGAGGUGGGCGGAAGUCGGGGUGUAGCGGUGAAAUGCUUAGAUAUCACGAAGAACUCCGAUUGCGAAGGCAGUUCACUGGACUGCAACUGACACUGAGGCUCGAAAGUGUGGGUAUCAAACAGGAUUAGAUCCCCGGUAGUC
rnacentral:rRNA from 1 species